rnacentral:rRNA from 1 species
AGGGUGUAAACGCUGCAGACUUGGUGUUGGAAGCCCUUUGGGGGCAUUCAGUGCCGGAGAGAAGUUGUUAAGUCUGCUACUUGGGGAGUACGUCCGCAAGGAUGAAACUUAAAGGAAGUUGGCGGGGGAGCACCGCAACGGGAGGAGCGUGCGGUUUAAUUGGAUUCAACACCGUAAACUCACCAGGGAAGACUGUUACAUGAAGGCCGAGAUGAAGACUCUGCUAGAUUUUCAGAGAGGAGGUGCAUGGCGUCAGUGACU